UGGAGAAGCCAGUGAUGGUUUUUGGCCAAAAUGUCUGAACCUGUCUGAAGCAUUUCAGUGAAGUUCCAUACGGCUCUGAGGCAUCUCUGUGG